ACUCAUUUUGAGUUUGUGAACAUCAGUGGAUUUAAGACGAAUCUGAGUUUUCUUAUCCGUGUAACUCACUUUUAACUAAUUCGUUAUCUUGAUCAGGAUCUUGUUUGUGUUACUUGCUAAAAACAGAGGCAUAGCAAGAGUUCAUUGCAGAGAGAUGGUCUAAUAACAUGUCUCAAAUUAGAUGUUCUCAGGCUAAGAUGUAGAAGUGAGCAGCUGCUUACAUUUAUGACAACCUGAAUUGUUGUUUUGUGACUAUUUCAUUGGAAUUAAAGACAGCUCACAAAAAUUAUUUAUCAGCUGAUGGCAUACCUCACUUAAUUGUUUCCAUUCCUUACAUCUACAGAGUAUGAAGGGAACUCAGUAGGGAAGGUCUGCGUCUUUCCUUUCAUUUAUAAUGGGACGAUAUACAAUACCUGCACCAAUAAAAAUAAUUCUGAUGGACAAUUUUGGUGUGCUACAACCGGGAACUAUGACAAGGACAAGCAGUGGAGCUACUGUGCUGAUACAAGACUAGGUCCAAACCAACCCUGUAUUUUCCCUUUUACCUACAAUGGAAAAUCAUA